GUGGUCAAGUUUCUAAGAGCAAACGGUGGAUGCCUUGGCAUCUGGAGCCGAAGAAGGACGUAGAAAUCUGCGAUAAGCCUCGGGGAGCUGAUAAUCGAGCCCUGAUCCGAGGAUUUCCGAAUGGGGAAACCCCGCUGGGCGCUUUUGUGACCUGGUGACUCCCGCCUGAAUAUAUAGGGCGGGUAGAGGGAACGUGGGGAAGUGAAACAUCUCAGUACCCACAGGAAGAGAAAACAACAUGUGAUUCCGUGAGUAGUGGCGAGCGAAAGCGGAUGAGGCUAAACCGAUCAUGUGUGAUAGCCGGCGGGCGUUGCAUGGUCGGGGUUGUGGGACACGUCACUCAGUUCUGCCGGACUGGGGCGGUUACAGCGCAUCAUAGUCGAACCGGUUUGAAAGCCGGGCCGUAGUGGGUGCCAGCCCCGUAGACGAAAUGGUGUUAUGGCCGGAUGUGUAUCCCAAGUAGCACGGGGCCCGAGAAAUCCCGUGUGAAUCUGUCAGGACCACCUGAUAAGCCUAAAUACUCCCAGAUGACCGAUAGCGGACAAGUACCGUGAGGGAAAGGUGAAAAGUACCCCGGGAGGGGAGUGAAAUAGUACCUGAAACCGUUUGCUUACAAACCGUCGGAGCCUCCUUAGUAGGGGUGACGGCGUGCCUUUUGAAGAAUGAGCCUGCGAGUUAGUGAUAUGUGGCGAGGUUAACCCGUGUGGGGCAGCCGUAGCGAAAGCGAGUCUGAAUAGGGCGUUUGAGUCGCAUGUUCUAGACCCGAAGCGAAGUGAUCUAUCCAUGGCCAGGUUGAAGCGACGGUAAGACGUCGUGGAGGACCGAACCCACUUCAGUUGAAAAUGGAGGGGAUGAGCUGUGGAUAGGGGUGAAAGGCCAAUCAAACUUCGUGAUAGCUGGUUCUCUCCGAAAUGCAUUUAGGUGCAGCGUUGCGUGUUUCUCGCCGGAGGUAGAGCUACUGGAUGGCCGAUGGGCCUCAACAGGUUACUGACGUCAGCCAAACUCCGAAUGCCGGUGAGUGAGAGCGCAGCAGUGAGACGGUGGGGGAUAAGCUUCAUCGUCGAGAGGGAAACAACCCAGACUACCAACUAAGGUCCCUAAGCGUGUGCUAAGUGGGAAAGGAUGUGGAGUUGCAUAGACAACCAGGAGGUUGGCUUAGAAGCAGCCACCCUUGAAAGAGUGCGUAAUAGCUCACUGGUCAAGUGAUUCCGCGCCGACAAUGUAACGGGGCUCAAGCACACCACCGAAGUUGUAGAUUUCGCACACUCGACAAGCCUUCGUGGUUCAGUCGUGCGGAGUGGUAGGAGAGCGUCGUGUGGCGAGUGAAGCGGCGGAGUGAUCCAGCCGUGGACGCUACACGAGUGAGAAUGCAGGCAUGAGUAGCGAAAGACGGGUGAGAAACCCGUCCUCCGAAAGACCAAGGGUUCCAGGGCCAGGUUAAUCCGCCCUGGGUAAGUCGGGACCUAAGGCGAGGCCGACAGGCGUAGUCGAUGGACAACGGGUUGAUAUUCCCGUACCGGCGAACAACCGCCCAAGCUAAUCCAGUGGUGCUAAGAGUCCUAACCCGGAUCAACCGGAUCCCUUCGGGGUGAUGGUGGCCGGUCUAACGCUCGACCCCAUGCUGGUGCGGUUAGCGUAUGAACAGGUGUGACGCAGGAAGGUAGCUGAGCCAGGCGAUGGUAUCCGUAAGGUGAACCUGGUGUAAGGAUGUAGGGCUGACGAUAGGCAAAUCCGUCGUCUGU
rnacentral:rRNA from 1 species